UACGGCCAAAUCACGUUCAAACACCGGUUCUCGUACGAUCACCGAAACGAAGCAACUUCGUGCCUGAUCAAUACCUAGAUGAGUGACCGUUUUGGAAUAUCAGGUGCAGUU